CUUUGUGAAAAAAAGAAACGAGUCUGUGUAGUGAAAUUUCCGCGAUGAGUAGUUUGAUUGAUGAAAUCAGCUUGGUCUGAUCUGUAAAUACAAAUUAUUUGGUCGUCUGUCAAUUAUUACAAAUCUCUUAACAAAACAAAGUUCCAAUUUGUUGUGGGGUUGGAUGAUUAAGAAAAAGUAGUCGCUGGUGAUUCACUUAAGGUGUUAGUCCUGUAUUAAAAAGCUGUAACUUUUGUGUGCUGAUGUAAUCUUUUAGUUGCAGGUUGUUAAUUUUAGAACAGAAUUGUAAAAAACCCUUUUAUUUGGUUUCUGUAUAGUGAUGGAAAAUAUUUGAUGCCAGUUACUUUGUGUCUCAGUAAGCAAGCUACUAGAUAGUUUCUAUCAUAGUUUGCUGCAAGAUGACCAUAAUUACGGCGAGGGCCAGCGAAGCACAAGAACAUUUAAUCACAUGUAAGACACAAAGUAAAGGUCCGCAGAAAAAUACGAUAUCCUGAACUUCAGAAAUAGUACGAAAAGGUUCACAACUACUCAUCAGAAAUCCAGGAAAUUGGUAAAUAUGAUUAGGAGAGUAAAGUAUUUCGAGAUCCAACCAGAGAGCCACAGACCGUUUUCUAUGGUGUGGCUCUGCCGAUGGAAAUCUUGUGGUCAUUUUCCCAUGUGCUAAUGGAGACGGUAACGGAACAAUGCACAUCAACAUACUCGAUAGUUAAAGUGAAAGAAUAAAUAAGAACGAGGACAUGCUAGGCGGAUCAAAAGCACCACCAAUGGCCAAGCAAAACGCUACGUCUGGUACUCUUGCAAGUAGGGAGUUCUAUAAAGAAUAUUCUCAGCCUUCCAACGCUUUGAAAAAGACAACAGUGGAUAUAUCACAAUGGAAGCCCUGGAGCAGUCCCUGAGGGACAUUAAUGGUGGAAGAGACCUUAAUGAAAUUAUUUCUGAAGUUGAUGGAGAAAAAUAUUUUCAAAGAAGGGGAGCUUCGCCACUUCUUCCUCUUUGUGUCACAUCUAUAGAAAUGUCUGUUUCGUUCCAUUUCAGGCUCCUCUGCGGCUUCUCGGUGGCAUUUCCAACUUCAUACAUUUUACACAUGGGAUGCUAACAAGUAACAACUUGCUAUCGUAAAUAAGGAUGAUAAAAGACAUAAACAUGGGGAAAAUACACUUUGUAUUAUGAGAGAAGUGCAUCAGUUUAAAAUAUUGUAAUUGUCGAGUGGGAGAACGGAGUACUGAAUUAAUUUACACACUGUAUUAGCAGCC